UACUUAUCAAGAAUGGAAUCAGAAGUCUUAUAUUUUUGCUUGUUACUUUCCUCUUCACUGGGGUAUAAAAGUUCUCCCCAAUCCGGGAGAGUGCCAAACUAGAGCAGUGAGACAAGGGUUGUUUAUAUUUUUAAGUACUUUAACCACAAACACAUUUACAGAAUGUUUUAGCGACUAGUCUGGUUUCUUCUCUCUGACUGUUAUUUUGAAGCCAUUAAAACUAAGUCAUCCUGUAGGAGCUCUUGUACAAAGAAAGGCAAAUAACACUGCAUGGGAAAUAGAAAAUGAGUUAUAGGUAUAUAUCCACAUCUAAGUACUUAUUGCUUUGUAGAAGCACCCUAUUUACCUGUUUACGAACUAAGGUAUAUGGUUUGGUUUUGUUUACUUUUAAAAUAGUUUCCUUAAACAAACUUCAUUCCACAUUUCAGCUCCUGUCCAGCCAGGCUGGUGGAAAGUCAGUCUCUAUUAUUUUGAGCUUUCCUCUUGCCACGGGUCUUAUCUUGCACUGAAACUCCUGGAAGGCUUGUCGGUAUCUGUCAUCAGCUGCUGAUGUGACCAUUUCCUAUUCAUUAUGCAAACUUGUCUAUGAUUAUUGGAAGCACUCUAUGUCCUGGACAUUCCAAGCAGUGACAUAGUCUUAUGUCUUCUAACAAACUGUGAACCAAGCAAACUACAUAUUCAGGAUCCUUUUUUGCAACUUGCUGUUGUAGAAGCCCAGGCAAGGCCUUUAAAUUUGUUUUCUCAUCUAUGAAAUGUGUAAUUCAACUUGAAGACUUUUGAAAGUCACUCUACAUCUGAAGAAUUUCUGAUUUUAUGAUGUAGGUACCACUCUCAAAGCUCUUAUUGAUAAAGACCUACAUUAUAUUCAUUUUUACACAGAUCUGCCAGUUUAAAAUCUGAUACAAUCCAACAUUCUAGAGCCUGAAACAUGAUGCUCUAUUAAGAUCGAUUUAUCAGAUGAAUAUAGACUCAAAUAAAGUUCUGUAAGAUACUGGCUCUAAAAUCUUGGCUCAGCAUUUCAAGAUGGUAUGCCUAUAGCUCCGAACUUGGAUGUAAUGAAACGUGAAACAGUCUCAUUUUAGCAUGGAAGGAAAUCAGCUUUCUCAUCAGGAGGAAAGAUUUUUCAAUUCAGUUUUAACCGGUAAUUUUCCUUUGGGGGAGCUUGAAGAGCUGUAGUGGUUAAAGGAAUAAACUAUCAAAUAACAAUACUAUUCAUGAAUAAUUACCCAGCAGAGGGAGAUAGGAGGAUUCUAACUUUUAUCUUUAGAGGUCUGAAUGAUUUGAGAGGAUACCUAUAAUGGAGGACUUGUGAUCUAGGAUACAGCAGUAGUUGCUGACAGAAAAGAGGGGGAAAUAAGCAAAUAUCAUCAAGUCAUGCACGUUGGGUUUUAUUUAAGGAAAUGUCUCCUUGUGUAGGCAGUGAUGUGUUUAAGAGUGAGACGUUUCCUUUUACUUGUUUCUAUUUUAAGUGAUUGCUUUGGCAGGUCUUUGAAGGAAAAAAAAAUCAUCUUCUAUCCUGCAGAUUCAGUAACUGCCCUUAAAUGUCAGAUCAUGUCACAUUUUCAGUGGAGACAGCAUUGUGAUUUGCUUCCAUGGUGAUCUACCAGUCAGUGAUGGCUAAAACUAAUGACCUUGGAUUAUCGGGGUACCGUGCAAGACAGCCACUAAUUAAUUAUUUGUCAUAAUCUCCCAGGGAGGAAAUUACUAAUAUUAUUACUUAGUACAUCCUUUGCAUUUACACUAGCAGAGUGCUGAAAAAUUCAUCUGUGGCCCUGAAGAAAUAACCAUUUGUGCUGUUCUUAGCAGGAAACAAGGAAGCAGCCCCAAGAGCGCCUGUGUCCACUCGGUGACAUAGUCAGGGCCUCAAGCUCUAUGUGCUGUGGCAGGCUUGUAGGCUACGUUGCUUUCAAAUUUCAGCUGAAUAAUAGAAUGACUAUGUCAGAGGCAUUUUUAAUAUAUUAUUCUAAUCUCCAGAGAUUGCAGUUAGUAAGCAACAAAUUAAUUCAAUUAUAAGACUGCCCCUCAAAAAAAAAUCUUUUAAUGUAGCACUUGCACUUGGAAGGCAUAUUCAACAAGCAGACCUGGAAAAUAUUAAAUGUGCUCUGGCAGUUGUAGGGAAAAAAAGCCAUCUGGUAUGAAUGAGUCCCCUGUAUUUGGAGUAAGGACGGUUACAAGAUCCUUUCAACUUACUGGUCGGCCAGUUGUCUGUUCCUCAGCCAGAGCCUAUCUACAGGUGGUCGCACUGGGAAAGAAAGAGUAUUUCUAUACUAUUAUUGAUAGAUUGUGGUUAAUAUUUAACCUAAAUUUGUAAUCAGAAUGUAAUAGUUAUAUUAUG